UACGGGGGGUGCAAGCGUUAUUCGGAAUUAUUGGGCGUAAAGGGCGCGUAGGCGGUUGAAUAAGUCAGAUGUGAAAGCCCUUGGCUUAACCAAGGAAGUGCAUUUGAUACUAUUUGACUUGAGUAUGGGAGAGGGAAGUGGAAUUCCUGGUGUAGAGGUGAAAUUCGUAGAUAUCAGGAGGAACACCGGUGGCGAAAGCGACUUCCUGGACCAAUACUGACGAUGAGGCGCGAAGACGUGGGGAGCAAACCGG
rnacentral:rRNA from 1 species